CAGUUUUGUAGUCAAUUAUGAUAUUAAAUUGCAAGUUUAAUGGUGAUUAUUUCCAAGGCU
rnacentral:tRNA from 1 species